rnacentral:rRNA from 1 species
GCAAGUCGAACGCUCACCUUCGGGUGGGAGUGGCAGACGGGUGAGUAACACGUGGGAACGUACCCUUUGGUUCGGGACAACUCUGGGAAACUGGAGCUAAUACCGGAUACGCCCUUUUGGGGAAAGGUUUACUGCCGAAGGAUCGGCCCGCGUCUGAUUAGCUAGUUGGUGGGGUAACGGCCUACCAAGGCGACGAUCAGUAGCUGGUCUGAGAGGAUGAUCAGCCACACUGGGACUGAGACACGGCCCAGACUCCUACGGGAGGCAGCAGUGGGGAAUAUUGGACAAUGGGCGCAAGCCUGAUCCAGCCAUGCCGCGUGAGUGAUGAAGGCCCUAGGGUUGUAAAGCUCUUUUAUCCGGGACGAUAAUGACGGUACCGGAGGAAUAAGCCCCGGCUAACUUCGUGCCAGCAGCCGCGGUAAUACGAAGGGGGCUAGCGUUGCUCGGAAUCACUGGGCGUAAAGGGCGCGUAGGCGGCGUUUUAAGUCGGGGGUGAAAGCCUGUGGCUCAACCACAGAAUGGCCUUCGAUACUGGGACGCUUGAGUCUGGUAGAGGUUGGUGGAACUGCGAGUGUAG